AACGAACGCUGGCGGCAUGCCUAACACAUGCAAGUCGAACGAGACCUUCGGGUCUAGUGGCGCACGGGUGCGUAACGCGUGGGAACCUGCCCUUAGGUUCGGAAUAACUCCCCGAAAGGGGUGCUAAUACCGGAUAAUGUCUUCGGACCAAAGAUUUAUCGCCUUUGGAUGGGCCCGCGUUGGAUUAGCUGUUGGUAGGGUAAAAGCCUACCAAGGCGACGAUCCAUAGCUGGUCUGAGAGGAUGAUCAGCCACACUGGGACUGAGACACGGCCCAGACUCCUACGGGAGGCAGCAGUGGGGAAUAUUGGACAAUGGGCGAAAGCCUGAUCCAGCAAUGCCGCGUGAGUGAUGAAGGCCUUAGGGUUGUAAAGCUCUUUUACCCGGGAUGAUAAUGACAGUACCGGGAGAAUAAGCUCCGGCUAACUCCGUG
rnacentral:rRNA from 1 species